rnacentral:lncRNA from 1 species
AUUCUUGUAGAAGGCUGAAAGGAAGCCACUUAUUAUAGAAGCUCGAUCGAAGAUCGGUUGUCGUGGAAGCUCGGAGUAGUGACCAGGUCGGUGGAGCCUGUCCUGUUGUAGAAGCUUGUUUGGGAUCCGUCCACUAUAGGAGCUCGGAGUAGAGAUCCGGGGUAGACCGCCUGCAGUAGAAGUUCGGACUAGAGAUCCGGCUGGUGGG